rnacentral:pre_miRNA from 1 species
AGCGUUUUGAAUCCGUGCAGACAUUUUGUCAAAUACCAACCCGUUAGGGCUGAUCAAACUUUCAAGAUAAGUCAAGUU